rnacentral:lncRNA from 1 species
ACAAAUAUCAUAAAUGUCAUUAUUACAUAGCAGAAGUGUUACAAAAAAAUAAAUGAUAAUAAUAAAGCGAACUAAGUAUUAUUCCCUUGUGCCACAAAGCUGACUGGGAGACGCCACCUAGAUCAACUCAUAUUCUUCAUUAUAGGGCGGCUCCUCCUGUACCACCUGCUCUUCACCUAUGGGGGGUUUAUAUAUCGCAAGAGUGAGCUCACAAAAGAUCAUAGCUCAACAAGUUGUGGGGAAUAAUGUGCAUGAACUCACCAAAGGUGGGAGUUUAUGUGAAGUGUAAGGUUGAUCAACGAUAAGGGGUUAAAGCUGAGCAUUGCUUUUAAUAAGUUGGUCAAAUUUUAUUAGCAGUUACUAAAUAUAAGUAAAGACCAAACCAGAGUAAUAGUAGAUCAAAAUUAAUAAUAAAUCCCAAAGCGAUGCAAAUGACAAAUUGAAUUUAAUUCUAUAAUUUAAUCAUGCAAGAGUCUUGAGUUGCUCAUGACCACAAGCACGACUAGUAUACCAGUUUUACACUCUGCAGAGGUUGUACCCUGUACCCUGUACCCACAAGUCGUGUAUCCCAUGUUUCCAGGGUUAGCUAGACCCUUAGACACUACCAAGGUGAAUGGCUAGGGAUCCACUAUGAGGCCUUUACAAAGUUCCACUACCUUCAGAAAACCCGCUACAGUUUCUAGGAAGAGCAAUACAGGAAUCCCCGUCUGACCGCCAUCACAGCAAAAUCAACCCGGGAACCUCCCUACACGCCUACUCCCCUACUGCCCUUGCCCCUAUCGGGUAAGGUAGUCCUCCACUAGCUUUCCUAGUUAGUCAGCCAAGGGCGUCUCAUUCCACCCUUGUGGUGGCACGUGUUUCUCAAGUUAAGCUCGAUGUUCCAAUUAACAUAAUUGUCUUAUCAAAAACAGGAAUAGAACAGUAAUAAAGAAUGAACAAGUGUAAUAGUUAUCUCAAUGCCCAAAACCAAGUAUAGCAAUAGCAAUGACUACCCAAAAGUUCAGGGGUAAACAAGGUGAAAAGAUAAUUAAACUAGGGUGACCUAUUGGGUCUCAUCAAAAAUAAGCCUAUGCAGGAUAGAGUGAUUAUAAAGAACAUUAUUGGGUAAAUAAAGUGAUUAAGGGCACAACUUGCCUUUAACGAGCUCCUGCUCAGCAACUUCUACCUACUGAACACCUGGAUCAUCUGUGGCUUGCUCGUCUACUCACAACAGUAUAAACAAACAUGGCAUAGCAGAAAUUAACAUCACACUAAACAUAAAUACAGAAUUCAUAAUAAUAAUCUACGUAUCAUAACGAGACUGUAGGAAAAGAAUCAUUAAAUUUAGAGUUACGGAUUUUAAGUAAUGAUUUUCCGAAGUACUUAUGUGUUUGGUACAAGAUUAAUUGAGUGAUCAAUUCUAAUGUGGCUUUCAUGUUAAAACAGUGGCACUAAGUGAUAAACAAUAUUAUUACAAAUUAUAGAAACUAGAAUGGACUAAAAAGGAGUCAGCAUGAAUUUUCUAUGAAUUAUACAAGUUUCUACAAUUAUUUUUGCAUUAAAAAUCAUUUCGAAAUGAAUUUCUUUGAUUUUAUAUUUCCCUGGACCGUGCACCAUAAUAACAGAAAGCGCAAGGGCAACUGCGCAAAAGGUCCAUGACACAGAGCGCCCAGAGCUGUACUGGGGGUCAAUAUCAAUAAAUCCGGGGGUCUCUUAUGUAAAAAUGAAAUGGCGAAGGGGUAUCCGUUGACACGAGCCAGAUCAGAUUCAGAUCCUAUUUCCCGCAAACCGGUUGGAGCAGGAGCCACACGAUUCAAGAUCAACGUUCAGGGCUUAAUGAAUCCUAGAUCGGAUCUCCACCACUGGAUUCUGCAUCAAUGGUCGCCACUCGCUCCGAUUGAAUCACUACCAAGCUUUUAAUCCCAGUCGUUCAACAAAGAUCGAACAACAAAGGUUUGUCUUCUUCCUCCCACCUCAAUAGACGGCGGCGCAAGCCCGAUACACGGCAGCCCUUGUGCUGGCGACAGGAUCUACCACACAUCGGAGCACUGCCCGAACCCCGCCUAGUGCUACAUGAAGAGGAAACUAGGGCGAACCCAGCUGUGGCCCAAAAAUGGUGAACCAGCGGGUUGCUGAGCCUAUCCAUAGUAGCACACGAAGCCGCCACGAAAUGCAAAUUUCGGUGAGAGAUUCCCAGUGCUCAAUUACCCCAUCCCAAGUCCUGGAGUGUUAAUCGCGAUUACAGUGACGAGAUGAACGGAUUGCGAGGACUCAUACCAGCGCCAAAGCUCUAGAAACGAUUGUCCACAACGGCGUUGUUUCUCCCCCUCUCUGAUUCUCUCCAAUGGCGGCGAGGUUCUCGGGAGGUCUCUGUGAGCACGGUCGACGGGACCCUUCCCCCAUAUAUAACCACGCGGAUGCUUGCCGAGUCAGCCGGAGCCAGGAAACCUGGGGAGGGUUGUUG